rnacentral:rRNA from 1 species
UGCAUGGUUGUCGUCAGCUCGUGUCGUGAGAUGUUGGGUUAAGUCCCGCAACGAGCGCAACCCUUGUCUUUAGUUACCAUCAUUAAGUUGGGGACUCUAGAGAGACUGCCGGUGAUAAACCGGAGGAAGGUGGGGAUGACGUCAAAUCAUCAUGCCCCUUAUGACCUGGGCUACACACGUACUACAAUGGCGCAUACAACGAGCUGCAAGAUGGUGACAUCAAGCGAAUCUCUUAAAAUGCGUCUCAGUUCGGAUUGGAGUCUGCAACUCGACUCCAUGAAGUCGGAAUCGCUAGCAAUCGCGGAUCAGCAUGCCGCGGUGAAUACGUUCUCGGGUUU